UGAAGAAGGCCUUCGGGUUGUAANGCUCUUUCGGCCGGGAAGAAAUCGCAUGGGUGAAUACCCUGUGUGGAUGACGGUACCGGAACAAGAAGCACCGGCUAACUACGUGCCAGCAGCCGCGGUAAUACGUAGGGUGCGAGCGUUAAUCGGAAUUACUGGGCGUAAAGCGUGCGCAGGCGGUUUGGUAAGACAGGCGUGAAAUCCCCGGGCUUAACCUGGGAACUGCGCUUGUGACUGCCAGGCUAGAGUACGGCAGAGGGGGGUGGAAUUCCACGUGUAGCAGUGAAAUGCGUAGAGAUGUGGAGGAACACCAAUGGCGAAGGCAGCCCCCUGGGUCGAUACUGACGCUCAUGCACGAAAGCGUGGGUAGCAAACAGGAUUAGAUACCCUGGUAGUCCACGCCCUAAACGAUGUCAACUAGGUGUUGGGUGGGUAAAACCAUUUAGUACCGUAGCUAACGCGUGAAGUUGACCGCCUGGGGAGUACGGCCGCAAGGUUAAAACUCAAAGGAAUUGACGGGGACCCGCACAAGCGGUGGAUGAUGUGGAUUAAUUCGAUGCAACGCGAAAAACCUUACCUACCCUUGACAUGCCAGGUACUUGCCAGAGAUGGCUUGGUGCCCGAAAGGGAGCCUGGACACAGGUGCUGCAUGGUCUGUCGUCAGCUGUUCGUNAAAANNUGUUG
rnacentral:rRNA from 1 species